rnacentral:rRNA from 1 species
UGGGGAAUAUUGCACAAUGGGGGGAACCCUGAUGCAGCGACGCCGCGUGCGGGAUGACGGCCUUCGGGUUGUAAACCGCUUUUAUUGGGGAGCAAGCGUGAGUGAGUGUACCUUUUGAAUAAGCACCGGCUAACUACGUGCCAGCAGCCGCGGUAAUACGUAGGGUGCAAGCGUUGUCCGGAAUUAUUGGGCGUAAAGAGCUCGUAGGCGGUUUGUCGCGUCUGGUGUGAAAGUCCAUCGCUUAACGGUGGAUUGGCGCUGGGUACGGGCAGGCUAGAGUGUAGUAGGGGAGACUGGAAUUCUCGGUGUAACGGUGGAAUGUGUAGAUAUCGGGAAGAACACCAAUGGCGAAGGCAGGUCUCUGGGCUAUUACUGACGCUGAGGAGCGAAAGCGUGGGGAGCGAACAGG